rnacentral:rRNA from 1 species
AUUGAACGCUGGCGGCGUGCCUAACACAUGCAAGUCGAGCGGUAACAGGUGUAGCAAUACAUGCUGACGAGCGGCGGACGGGUGAGUAACGCUUGGGAAUCUGCCUAUUAGUGGGGGACAACCCGGGGAAACUCGGGCUAAUACCGCAUACGCACUACGGUGGAAAGCCGGGGACCGCAAGGCCUGGCGCUAACAGAUGAGCCCAAGUCGGAUUAGCUAGUUGGUAGGGAACGGCCUACCAAGGCGACGAUCCGUAACUGGUCUGAGAGGACGACCAGUCACACCGGAACUGAGACACGGUCCGGACUCCUACGGGAGGCAGCAGUGGGGAAUAUUGGACAAUGGGCGAAAGCCUGAUCCAGCGACGCCGCGUGGGUGAAGAAGGCC